GCCGCAGUGUCCCAAAAUGCCCCUCAAGUCUCAACUCAACCUCUACGCACUCACUCUCUCGCCCACUCCCAUUAACAAAACGCUCAAAAAGUACACUCUUAUUUACCGCAAAAUCGCCAAAAAUUGGUGGAAACGGUGAAAAAUCUCAGUAAUCAUCCUUGCUUCUCGAGCUUGGCAUCCCCGAUUACUGGCCGGAAUACAACACCAUGCAACCGGCAGAGACCAUUUCCCGGUCUCCUCUCGACAAACCGCUCCAACAACUCACUGAAGACGACAUUUCUCAGCUCACUCGCGAAGAUUGCCGACGAUACCUCAAAGAGAAAGGUAUGAGACGGCCGUCCUGGAACAAAUCGCAGGCAAUUCAGCAAGUGAUCUCUCUCAAAACGCUUCUUGAAACGACGCCGGAUUGGAAUGGCAAUGAACCUCGAAGAAGACUCUACAUUCCCCGCCCGGAUAAUCCUAAUCGCGCCCCUGCAAUUUCCCCUGUUUCCUUGAAGGAAACGCGCGCCGACACUCGGAUCACCCCGUCGCCUGAGGAACUGGUUCCAUACAGGCGACUUGAUCCUCCAAAGCAUGAUGUUCCCGGUGAUCCUUCGGUCCAUCACUUAGCCAAGGAGAACGACUUGGUUUCCCCUAGGACUAAAGGUGCAGCAAAUGAGCCCAUAGGUCAAAUGACUAUUUUUUACUGUGGAAAGGUCAAUGUGUAUGAUGAUGUACCAAGUGACAAGGCACAAACAAUAAUGCAGCUUGCUGCAUACCCACUCUCAUUGUCUCUGGAAACUUCAACUGACAUGGUUCCAGCAUUAUGCCCCAUUCCACGCCAGUUGGAAAGUCCAGGUGUCAAACCUGCUGCUCCAGUGAUGAUCUUUUCAACCCUGAAUACAGGGAAAGUGGCAGAAAACUGUCAGCUGCCCAGGGAGGAGUGCAACAUAUCUCAUGAAGACAACCUAGAGGGCCCAACCAGUAGAAAGGCAUCAGUACAGAGAUAUCUUGAGAAGCGAAAGGAUAGGUAUCUUGAAAUUGAUAAUUUGCUAUUUAUGGCAACAAAAUAAUUGUCGUUGUAUAUUUUGCUUUGUUAUUUGCCCCUCAUAUCCCUGUUAGGUGAAGGUUCAAGAACAAGAGAAAGACAGCAAUGCCUUCAUCUCCUAGGUCAGACAUCAACUUAAAUCGAGCGAGAGAGCAGUGCUCAAAUGAUCAAUGCAACCUAACUGAUGCAUCUUCUCCUCCCCAACCCAGACACCAGACAGCCUCAAACACCUAGCUGGUGCAGCUCUGUUGAGAAUGCAGCAAAGCAUCCCAAUCUCUCUGCUGAUCUCGAUGACAAAGAUACCCAAGAAUGUCGAAUACGGCAAGAUCAAGAAUCAGAGUCUCCAGUUCUAUUUUCUGAUAUCAACAGCUCGUCCAGAAGAGUUGGUACCACAAGGUAAAGCCUGUUGUAGAAGUUGCGGCCUUCUGUUAGAUAAUAGUUAAGAGUUAACAAAUUCCCAAUCUUCGAGUUAUCAACAUUUCCCCCUUUAUUUUUAUCUCUUAGUAUCUAGAGACUAUAAAGUAAUGGGAGCUGUUGCUCUAUGGUGAUGAUAAAAGCAGCUUGUAAAAUAGCACCUUUGAUGAAGAAAUUUAAAUUGGUUGAUUUUGAACCA